rnacentral:lncRNA from 1 species
AGGCGGGUUCUUGCAUUUCUGGGGAUCUGGCAUAUGUCUACGAACUGGUUAGUUAAUUUGGCUCAUCAUAUCUUGUAUAUAAUGUUAUGCACUUCCUAUGAAAGGCAGAUGAUUAAAGAUUUUGCAUAUUUUUAAUUUCUUAUGCAGAGAAGUUAUACAAAUUAGCAACAGUUGUUUAAAAACAACUGUCUGGUUUUCAGAGUUUUAAGUUGAUAGUGCUUGACAUGGACCUCAACCAUAAUCAACCUUACCUCCCAUAAAUGAAUCUUCUUAAGCUCGAUUUAAUUCUUAA